AGUGAACGCUGGCGGUAGGCCUAACACAUGCAAGUCGAACGGCAGCACAGUAAGAGCUUGCUCUUACGGGUGGCGAGUGGCGGACGGGUGAGGAAUACAUCGGAAUCUACUUUUUCGUGGGGGAUAACGUAGGGAAACUUACGCUAAUACCGCAUACGACCUACGGGUGAAAGCAGGGGAUCUUCGGACCUUGCGCGAUUGAAUGAGCCGAUGUCGGAUUAGCUAGUUGGCGGGGUAAAGGCCCACCAAGGCGACGAUCCGUAGCUGGUCUGAGAGGAUGCUCAGCCACACUGGAACUGAGACACGGUCCCGACUCCUACGGGAGGCAGCAGUGGGGAAUAUUGGACCAUGGGCGCAAGCCUGAUCCAGCCAUACCGCGUGGGUGAAGAAGGCCUUCGGGUUGUAAAGCCCUUUUGUUGGGAACGAAAAGCAGCAGGUUAAUACCCCGCUGUUCUGACGGUACCCAAAGAAUAAGCACCGGCUAACUUCGUG
rnacentral:rRNA from 1 species